ensembl:lncRNA
UAAUAACCAAAACAGAGGCAUUUCUAUAAUAGAUGGUCAUCUAUGACAUGAUUUUAUUAUUUAAUAUAUCACUGUAGGAUGAUUAGUAUGCAUGGGGUGGUCUUUAUCAGUAGGUAAAACUGAAAGAUUUAUGAAAAUACAGUUAAAAAUCCAAGAUUUAUGCCCUCCUUCACAUUGUCCAAAGAUGUCCAGCGGGCCAGAUUGGAGUCUUUUGCAGUCCUGGCGCCUUAUGUUUGACACCAAAUACCAAAUUGGUGUCAAAAUUGGGGAAUUUUGGUAUUAGGACCACUCUCGCCAUUCAUUUUUACUGGAUUUUAUGUCCAGCUAAUGAUAUAAAACCCAAACAUCUAGCUUUUGAGCUACAGGGUCAUUUUAUGUGAUUCUUUUAGUCAUUUCAUCCCAGGGUGAUUAUUCAUGGCCUCACUGAUGGUGUAACCUCAUAAGCAACCAUGAAACAAAAAUGACACAGCCUCUCCCGUCCCUUCAGGGUGCAUCUCCUAAUGGCCGCAUUUCCCCUAAAUUUAGCAUGCAGUCUCUCGCACACGGCCCAAGCCCAGUCAAGUCUUAUUUCUUCGAAUCACUGUCAGCCAGCAUGAGGGGUGAAAUCUUUCUGAGCACGAGGUUUGAGGCCAAAGCCGUUUUAGAUGUGGCUGUCGUGUUGUAUUCCAUCUUUUUUUUCUCUGUAAAAGACAAUGAGACAAAUUUGAGCCCUAAACUGUGAGAAAGAUUAAAAAAACAAAAAAAAAACCCUCCCUAAUUGUGUCUCCUUUGCUUUCUAGGUUGGGUGGAGAAAGAAACAUACUACUGAUCCAACGCCACACAGACACGGAGGGAGCGUGUGCUUCAUUACUAUUUAAUGCCAUGUUACAUAUUUGUUUGAGUUAUUAGACCCCCCCCAUUAAUAACACCACAAAGCAUGGAUAGAUUAAGAUUAUAUUGAUGUGUGUUUCUUUCCCAAUAAAACAUUCCCACUGUUCACUGAGGCUGCUUGCAUGAUUGCUUGUCUCUCUGAUGCCUUUGGACUGGAAACCGUGUUUCAGGAACUUGAUUCAGGAUGUUCCGAGGUUCAGCAGAUACAUACCUGUGAGUCAGGCGCAAUGACCCGUGCAGUGGGAUUAUCCACCUCAACAGUCUUCACUGCAGGAAUUGAAUAUGAAGAGCUUAAUGGGGAACAAGCAAGAUGUCUCAGGGAAGGAGAAAUAUUUUAGGGCAUUUUCACAGGAAAGCAUGAUCAUCAUUUACCA